rnacentral:tRNA from 1 species
GCCGGGGUGGCGGAACAGGCAGACGCGGCGGACUCAAAAUCCGCUGAACUUCGGUUCAUAAGGGUUCAACUCCCUUCCUCGGCA